GACGAACGCUGGCGGCGUGCUUAACACAUGCAAGUCGAACGGUGAAGCCCUUCGGGGUGGAUCAGUGGCGAACGGGUGAGUAACACGUGGGGAAUCUGCCCUGAACUCUGGGACAAGCCUUGGAAACGAGGUCUAAUACCGGAUACGACCUUCUCCUGCAUGGGGGUUGGUGGAAAGCUCCGGCGGUUCAGGAUGAUCCCGCGGCCUAUCAGCUUGUUGGUGGGGUAAUGGCCUACCAAGGCGACGACGGGUAGCCGGCCUGAGAGGGCGACCGGCCACACUGGGACUGAGACACGGCCCAGACUCCUACGGGAGGCAGCAGUGGGGAAUAUUGCACAAUGGGCGGAAGCCUGAUGCAGCGACGCCGCGUGAGGGAUGACGGCCUUCGGGUUGUAAACCUCUUUCAGCAGGGAAGAAGCGCAAGUGACGGUACCUGCAGAAGAAGCACCGGCUAACUACGUGCCAGCAGCCGCAGUAACAC
rnacentral:rRNA from 1 species